rnacentral:misc_RNA from 1 species
CUAAAGUCAAAUAUGAUCGUCAGCUCAGGAUAUGGGGUGAGAAAGGACAAGCUGCACUGGAGAAAGCCAGUAUCUGCUUACUUAACUGUGGUCCAACUGGUUCUGAAACUUUGAAAAAUCUUGUUCUUGGUGGGGUGGGAAGCAUCACUAUUGUUGAUGGUUCUAAGGUUGAAGUGGGUGAUCUUGGAAAUAAUUUUAUGGUUGAUGAAUCAAGUGUUGGACAAUCUAAGGCAGAGUGCGUGUGUGCAUUUCUUCAAGAGUUAAAUGAUGCUGUUAAAGCGAAGUUUAUAGAAGAACAUCCCGAGGAACUGAUUGAGACUAAUCCAUCAUUCUUUUCUCAGUUUACCUUGGUCAUAGCUACACAGUUGGUUGAAGAUUCUAUGGUGAAAUUGGAUCGUAUCUGUCGGGAGGCAAAUAUUAUUCUAAUAUUUGCACGAUCAUAUGGCCUCAUGGGUCUUGUUAGGAUCAGUGUGAAGGAACAUACAGUAAUUGAAUCAAAGCCUGACCAUUUUUUAGAUGAUCUACGUCUUAAUGACCCAUGGCCAGAACUUCGGAGGUUUGCAGAGACAAUUGACUUAAACACAACUGAUGCUGUAGUACAUAAACACACACCAUAUAUUAUUAUCCUUGUUAAGAUGGCAGAGGAAUGGACGAAUAUGCAUGGUGGAAAGUUUCCUUCUACCAGAGAAGAAAAAAAACAAUUCAAGGAUUUGAUCAAAUCCAAGAUGAGCACGGUGGAUGAAGAAAACUAUAAAGAAGCCAUGGAAGCAUCAUUUAAGGUCUUUUCCCCAGUAGGGAUUGGUCCAAACUUACAGAAGAUUAUCAAUGACAGCUGUGCAGAAGUCGAUUCCAAUUCAUCUGAUUUUUGGGUGAUGGUAGCAGCCAUGAAGGAGUUCAUAGCUAGUGAAGGUGGUGGGGAGACACCUCUUGAGGGAUCAAUACCAGAUAUGACAUCAUCAACUGAAUUGUACGUAAACCUGCAAAAGACCUACCAAGCCAAGGCCGAGGCUGAUUUUCUAGCUAUGGAGCAAAGGGUCAAGAAUUUACUCAAGAAAUUUAGUAGGGAUCCAGCCAGUAUCUCCAAGGCGAAUAUAAAGAGCUUUUGUAGAAAUGCAAGGAAACUUGCUGUUUGCAGAUAUCGGCUCGUUGAGGACGAGUUCAACUCUCCUGCCCAACCAGAGUUACAAAAGUAUCUGACAGAUGAGGAUUAUGGUACUGCUGCGGGUCUUUAUAUUCUUCUUCGAGCAGCUGACCGGUUUGCUGCGAACUAUAACAAAUUUCCUGGACAAUUUGAUGGUGAGAUGGAUGAGGAUAUAUCCCGGCUGAAAACUACAGCUGUUGGCCUACUCAAUGACCUUGGUUGCAAUGGUUCUUCUGUAUCAGAGGACCUUAUUAAUGAGAUGUGUCGGUAUGGUGCUUCGGAGCUUCAUGUUGUAGCUGCCUUUGUUGGAGGAGUCACAUCACAAGAAGUGAUCAAGCUCAUCACUAGACAAUUCAUUCCCAUGUCUGGAACUUUCAUCUUUAAUGGCAUAGAUCACAAAUCUCAACUGUUGUUGCUCUAGUCUCUGAAUUCACAGAUAGCAUUUCUUCAGUUUUCAAUCUUCAGAUGAGUCCUACAGCAGCAUGUGAAAAGGAAAGUUUGUCAUACUUCCUUUGAUUUGCAGGAAAUUUAGGAUCAGUGAAAGAUUUUUAAGAAAGAGAGUACAUUUCUUGACAAGCGCCUAGGACGCUGAUCCAUUGGUAACAGCACAACACGUGAUGUGUGGUUUAGGUGCACGUCACGAGUUUGAACAUGCUGUGGACUAAAAUGAUAGUUUUAGCUUUUUUAGAAACAGAUAUAUAGGGGUUGUUUCAUUUUGAUAUCCUAUUUCAUCUCAUUUUUCUUAACCUGCAGUCUGCAAUUUGAUCUAACUAAAAGCUCAUUUCCCUCUAUUUAUAAUACUAGUUCUCGACACGUGCAUCGCACGUGUAUCCCAAA